rnacentral:tRNA from 1 species
GCUAAAGUAGCUUAAUUGGUAAAGCAACUGAUUUGUAAUCAGUAGAUUAUGAGUUCAAAUCUCAACCAUUAGCU